AAUCCAUAGGUUAAUGAGGCGAACCGGGGGAACUGAAACAUCUAAGUACCCCGAGGAAAAGAAAUCAACCGAGAUUCCCCCAGUAGCGGCGAGCGAACGGGGAGGAGCCCAGAGCCUGAAUCAGCAUGUGUGUUAGUGGAAGCGUCUGGAAAGGCGCGCGAUACAGGGUGACAGCCCCGUACACAAAAGCGCAUGUGCUGUGAGCUCGAUGAGUAGGGCGGGACACGUGGUAUCCUGUCUGAAUAUGGGGGGACCAUCCUCCAAGGCUAAAUACUCCUGACUGACCGAUAGUGAACCAGUACCGUGAGGGAAAGGCGAAAAGAACCCCGGCGAGGGGAGUGAAAAAGAACCUGAAACCGUGUACGUACAAGCAGUGGGAGCACCCUUUGGGUGUGACUGCGUACCUUUUGUAUAAUGGGUCAGCGACUUAUAUUCUGUAGCAAGGUUAACCGAAUAGGGGAGCCGGAGGGAAACCGAGUCUUAACCGGGCGUUAAGUUGCAGGGUAUAGACCCGAAACCCGGUGAUCUAGCCAUGGGCAGGUUGAAGGUUGGGUAACACUAACUGGAGGACCGAACCGACUAAUGUUGAAAAAUUAGCGGAUGACCUGUGGCUGGGGGUGAAAGGCCAAUCAAACCGGGAGAUAGCUGGUUCUCCCCGAAAGCUAUUUAGGUAGCGCCUCGUGAAUUCAUCUCCGGGGGUAGAGCACUGUUUCGGCUAGGGGGCCAUCCCGGCUUACCAACCCGAUGCAAACUGCGAAUACCGGAGAAUGUUAUCACGGGAGACACACGGCGGGUGCUAACGUCCGUCGUGAAGAGGGAAACAACCCAGACCGCCAGCUAAGGUCCCAAAGUCAUGGUUAAGUGGGAAACGAUGUGGGAAGGCCCAGACAGCCAGGAUGUUGGCUUAGAAGCAGCCAUCAUUUAAAGAAAGCGUAAUAGCUCACUGGUCGAGUCGGCCUGCGCGGAAGAUGUAACGGGGCUAAACCAUGCACCGAAGCUGCGGCAGCGACACUGUG
rnacentral:rRNA from 3 species